UUUAUUCUUCUUCCCUGCUGCUCUUUAUGCUCUUACCCAAAUCCUAGGAUUCAAACCUUUGUUUAGGAGAGAAUCAAGCGACGGGUAAGUUAUUCUCCAUGUUCUCAACAGAUUUCUAAUCACUCUAUCUAGCUAGAGUUUAUAUUGGCACGAUUCUAAUGGUUGUAGAUCAUAAUGCAUGGUUUAUAAUAUAUUUAGGCCUUGUUUAGGGUUUUGAUUUAUUAUGAGUUUAGAUAAUCAAUCAUUGACGUAUUAAGCACAGGAUAAUUCUGGACAGCAUGAGUAUCUCGAAUUUAAAGCUAUAUUUUCUGAACGAAUUUUCUUAUAAAAUUUAUAUUUCUGGGAACUAGACAUGUAGGGAUUCUUGAUUAAAUUUUAUUUCAUUGAAUUCGAUUUCGUUUUGAAUUUUAUAUGUAUUUUCGAAAUAGAAACCACUGCACUGGAAAACUGCGAUUCCAGCAUUGCGAUCGGAUUCACAAGACUAUUUGUACCAUCAAAUGAACUCGGAAAAUUCUGAAAGUUUAUAUGUAGGUUAAUAUAUGCGUCUAGGAUUCCCAGUUUUAAUUUUAUAAUUUUCUGAUUAGUAUGUUAUUUUCUAAAAAUCACGGAACCCGUUCUGUUUGGUUUAGAUUAUGUGAAAACAGUUUCGAGUUUGCUGAGUAGUAAAUAGUUUUUAAAAUGUUUUUGACAUCGGAUCCUCUUGUAAAUUUUACAUGGGGUAUUCAUGGAUGUCCAGAAUAGUUCCAGAGGAUAUUAUAUCAUUCUGAGUUUUAGAUUAAGAGUUAAAAUUCUGAGAAUCAGACCUGUACGGGUAUGAAUUAGAAAAUCAGAUUCUUAGAAUAAGUCAUUAAUUGUCAUAUCUUGUAUUUGUUUAAGGAGUUGAAGGUGAUUGAGGCUCUUAGAAGCUUAGAGGUGUGUUAAUUCAAGUUCAUUUGUCGAGGUAAGUAACUUCAUUCCUAGCAUACUGGAUAUGUAUAAGUAUUUUGAUAUUGUUAUUAUAAAUAUAAAUGUUUUUAUACUACUUAAAGGGUAAAUUGAUUUUGAUAAUAAAAUUAGUUUUAUGUAAAUGUUUUAAAGCCAAAUUCUUUUUAACAAAGUAUUUUAUAAAUGCUUUUGAAUAUGUAAGUUAUUUUGUUACAUGCCUACUUUUAUGAUUUUAUUUAUAAAAUGUUAUGCAAGCCUAAAUUAUUGUUAUGAACUUCUAUAAAUCUGAUACGAAUGUUUUGUACCCAUGUAUGAUUUCGAUUAUUGAUGAUUGUAUGAGAUUCCUAAUGUUUUGGCUCAUUGUCCAUAGUUAUUCUAUUCUGAUUCUGAUCGUAAUAUACGAUAUAUCUGUCUGGACCAGUACUGGGUUUAUGUUCUGAGUGUGCACACAAUAUUCUGAUUCUGUUUCUGGCCGGGUCACCGGGACUAUAGGUGACACUAUGUGACAUGAGCUAACCUUUUUGUUUUCUGAAUAUGUACUACAUGAUUUUCUUCGUAAGUAAAUAUGCUUUUGAAUAUUCUGAAUUAUUAAGAAUUUAUCUUAUGUUAUCGUGAUAUAUCGUUUCAUGAAAAUUAUGGAUUAUGAUAUAUGUUUUAAACAAAAGAAGGCUUGCAAUAUUUUUGGUAUCGAUGGGCCUAGUGUGUUAGGCAUGGCUUUACUUACUGAGUUGACGGCUCACCCCUCGUCAUUACUUUUUGCAGAUUAAGUUUCUUUUGAGAGGUGUGCUUGGCUUUGGAGCUAAUAAGUUUCAGUUUCCAUUUGCCAUUGAAUAAGAGGAGGAAUAGACUCGUGUUUCUACUUAGUUAUUUCUUUUUGAACGUGUAAUUUGGAGUUUGAGACUUUAGUUGUUUUUAUUUUUUAUAUGUCCUCG
rnacentral:lncRNA from 1 species